rnacentral:rRNA from 1 species
AUGGAUUCCAUCAUGGCUAACGGGACAUGGAAGAUCACUGAGCGUCCCUAUGGUUGCAAACCAUUGGGAUGUAAGUGGGUGUUCAAGAAAAAGCUUAGGCCCGACGGUACGAUUGAAAAGUACAAGGCCAGGCUUGUGGCCAAGGGCUAUGACCAGAAAGAAGAGGAAGAUUUCUUUGAUACUUAUUCACCUGUGGCUAGACUGACCACCAUUCGAGUAUUACUCUCGUUGGCGGCCUCACAUGGUCUUCUCGUCCAUCAAAUGGAUGUUAAGACGGCUUUUCUGAAUGGAGAGCUAAAUGAGGAAAUCUACAUGCAACAGCCAGAUGGCUUUGUGAUAGAUGGUCAGGAAAGGAAGGUGUGUAAGUUGCUGAAAUCUUUAUAUGGCCUAAAGCAAGCACCUAAGCAAUGGCAUGAUAAGUUCAAUACAACUCUGACAUCUGUUGGUUUCGUUGUUAAUGAGGCUGACAAAUGUGUAUACUAUCGCCAUGGUGGGGGCGAAGGAGUUAUACUGUGCUUGUAUGUUGAUGACAUACUGAUAUUCGGAACAAACCUCAAAGUCAUUGAGGAGGUCAAAUUGUUUCUGUCUCAGAACUUCGAGAUGAAGGACCUUGGUGUGGCUGAUGUUAUCUUGAACAUCAAGCUACUGAGAGAUAAUGAGUGUGGGAUCACACUUCUGCAAUCCCAUUAUGUUGAGAAGGUGUUGAGUCGUUUUGGAUAUUCGGACUACACACCAUCUCAAACACCAUAUGAUCCUAGCGUGUUGAUUCGAAAGUCCAAAGGCAUGGCUAAAGAUCAAUUGAGAUACUCUCAAAUCAUUGGUUCACUGAUGUUCCUAGCGAGCGCAACGAGGCCUGACAUCGCGUUUUCUGUGAGCAAACUGAGCCGGUUUGUUUCCAAACCGGGUGAUGUACAUUGGCAUGCUGUUGAAAGAGUUAUGCGCUAUCUGAAAGGUACUAUGAACUAUGGACUUCACUAUACCGGAGACCCGUCGGUACUUGAAGGGUAUAGUGAUGCGAAUUGGAUCUCUGAUGCUGAUGAGAUGAAGGCCACAACUGGGUAUAUGUUUACUCUUGGAGGUGGCACUGUUUCCUGGAAGUCUUGCAAGCAAACGAUCUUAACGAGAUCGACAAUGGAAGCAGAAUUAACAGCAUUAGACACUUCUGGUGUUGAAGCAGGAUGGCUUCGAGAACUUUUGAUGGACUUGCCACUGGUUGAUAAACCGGUUCCGGCUAUCCUUAUGAACUGUGACAAUCAGACUGUCAUCACCAAGGUGAAGAGUUCAAAGGACAACAUGAAGUCCAACAAACACAUAAGAAUGAGAUUAAAAGCUGUCAGAAAAUUAAGAAACUCCGGAGUGAUAGCGCUGGACUAUGUCCAUACGGCUAAGAAUCUGGCAGAUCCCUUUACGAAAGGGCUAUCACGUGUCGUGAUAGAUAGUGCAUCGUCGGAGAUGGGUAUGAGACCCGCAUGA